UUAAAACCUUUUUCACUCUACAGAUUGACUCCUGAUCUAUGAAGCAGUAUUAGUGGUUUAUCAAGAUAAUCUCAGGCUUAGUUCAGGAUUUUCAGUAUCACAGAGCUGGUUCACUUCUUACCUGGGUCCAUCAUCAUGGUAACUCAUUCUAGAAAUAUAUAUGUACAGGCAUAGAUGUCCACUAUUUUCUUUUUCAAGAACCGCUCACCAGCUGCUAUCUUUGCUUUUAGAAUUGACAGGAAAAGAACAACAUGUUUUCACUUUUAAUUUUGUCUUGUUUAGGAUUGUAUACAUAGGAACCAGAAAUUCUUCAAGGAACCACAUUUCCAUUUGUCAGAUGAGAGAAUUCAUGUUGACCAAACAACAGAUACAAACACUGGAUGACUCAAUUUGACAACAGUGAUGUUUUACAGUGUACGGAUGAGUGGUUCUGCAUGGAGGGCCAGGCACAGCUGCAUUGCUGGGAGGUCUGCCUAUUGUCUGAGCCACAUAAAGGCUGUAAGAGCUGGGGACAAGGCUUUACAACUCAGCCCAAAAAGCUGCUACAGCACCCCCCCAUCCCACCCCUCCAUGACCACAUCACUGAUGCAUCAAGAGACAUUGGCGUACCCUAUGAGUGUGAACAAAAAGACACAAUAACAGCAGAGUUCAUCCCUUCCCUUCUUCAAUGAACCUUUAACAGCAGCUGCUGUGAACCCCAGGUUGUCAGUGCAGGCCUUUAGCACUUGGGUUCAUGUCUUGUCAGGUGGGUCUGUGUUGAUGACCGAGUGAAAGAGAAGACUGUCAAUCAUCUGCUGACACAUGGAGUCCAUCUUGGUCCACUCCCAUCUCAAUCGUUCAGGCCGGAACCAAAAACAGCUCGGGCCAAUCACGUUGCAGUACCAUGGUUUAUGGUGGAUACCACCUGUGACGAAAGCAAGAGCUCCUGAGGCCACAUACGAACCAAUAUAAACAUGGCAGCACAGGAGGAUGCAUGGGAAGCUGCUGCUAUCACAUCUGUUUGGUCAGAACCCACAGUAUCAUGUGGGUGUAACUUGUGGUUUCUCAUGUCACCUGCUUCCUACAUUUUCAUUUGAUACCACGAUUGAAUAAACCAACCUUUGGUAGGCAGGCACUACAUCUCACUUCGCCCAAUCAAUUGUGUUGAAUCCCCCUGCUUUCCCAGAAAAAGAUUUGAUGGGAGCAGGCCCAGAUUAGUAAAGUGCAGAACAACAAGAGUUUGGCUCAGAUAUUAGUGCUGUUUUCUUUUCUCUCCUGCUUAGGAAAUAUCACUAUGUAGCAAAACAAGGAAAUAGAUGUUUGACAAUUACAAAUGAUAAAGCCAAGGGUGUCAAAGUGUCUUCGUUGAUCAUGGCUUCUCCCCACAUGGUCUGAACCAAAGACUUUUGGUUAACAACAUAAACAUAGCCAAGAACUGGUUUUCAGUAUAUUUCAGUACAUAUUUGUCUAUCAUAUUUGUUGGUAUUCUGAAUUUCUGCAGAUGUUUCCAGAUCAGAUGUUUUUUUUUAUCCCGGUAUCCAUGCAAACAGAUGCCUUAAUAUCAAAAUAGAAUAAACGUAACGUUAAAGAAUCUCUUUUCAGCAUAAAAUUUUCUACUUCUGUUUGUUAAACCUAAAUAUUUCAUAUUUUGAACUACAGAGCAUGAUGCUAUAGAGCAUCAUGUGAAACAGCUUACCUUACUUUCUAUAGGGUACCAAAAUGCUGCUACACAAAUUAUUUUUUUAAAGUGGUGUAAGCUUUGAUUAAUGUGUUUGCAACUAAUUGUUGAAUAUGUUAACACAAAAUGCCAUCUCAAAGAGUACUUCAUUUUUCACCUCAGUUUCAAACAUAUACACACAGCAGUGUCAAGCAAAGCACUCACCUUAGCAACGGUGCUUAAAGUGAUCACUGGAUCAAACUAUUAGCUGGCAGCAGCUAGGCUGGCACUUAUUAAAGCAACACAUUCACAGGCACAAAUUCAUGCAAGUCAAUUAUUUAGGUCAAAUGUGUGUCAUAAAUUUAAAUGAAAGCAUCAAGUUAAAUUUUGUGUCUCACUUUUUUCACAUAUGUUGGUGCACCUAAAACAUGUUUUACAAGAAUUUAGCUUCUAAACAUGUCCUGAUUACAUUUACAUCACUAUAGAGAAAGCUACUUUUAUUAUAAAAUCAAUGUGUUUUUCUUUUUUUCCACUUUUUAAUUAUCAGUGAUUGUCUGACCAUCUGAGGAUUGACAUUCAAUAUUCCAUAAACAGUCUAUGAGUGCCCUCAAGUGGUCAAAUACUUAUUAGCUGAAAAAUCUAGUAUGACAUUUGGCUGAACUGUCAAUAGAGGAGCUGAAAAAAGAAUUUACAAAAAAUACCACUUACUAUCUAAAGGUACUUAAUCCAUAGUUUAAUAAGCCAUAUCUUAUUCCUUAACUGCUGAACAGGUAGGCAUAUGAGUCAUUUUUUGUGUGUGUGUUCUUGUACUUGCAGCUGUUCGAGACCAUUUUUUGCUCACUUUACUUUGAAGUAAAAUGAGGACCAAAAGCGGCCCCAUUUAUUUCUGGGCUACAGGUUAGGUUUAGAAUGUGUUAAGGUGUCAGUUAGGUUUAGGGUGGGGUUAGGUAUAAACUGAUAAAAGUUGGGGUGAGUUAGGGUUAGGCCAUAGAAAAGCUUGAAAAUGAGUGGAAGUCUAUGGAAGUCAAGGCACA